AUGACCUUACUUGAAUAAGAUCUGUUCUAUAGGCUCGUACAACUGUAUCCUUAAGAUCUAAGGAGACAGGAACCUAAGCCUGGUUGAUGAAUCAUGACCGUGUGAUCAAAGCGCGAUUAACAGCUCACUGAUUAGCCUUCGGGUUUCAUCAGAUGGACGACAUAGGAUCGUUCUCAGCUAGUUUGACUAGCUAUGGUGGUCACAUGGUUGUCUGGCAGACU